UUACGACCAUAUCAGGUUCAAACGCCGGUUCCCGUACGAUCCCCAAAGUUAAGCAAACGCCGACCCUGCACAGUGCCUAGAUGGGUGACCGUGUGAAAAUGCAAGGUGCUGUAAG